GCAUAACUAACAGCCGAUUCUAAUUCACCCACAGACCUUUUAGCAUCAGUAAGCCACCAACUUUCUUUUAUUAUGCGUGCAGCUUCAACAUAUAGCUGCACAUGGAAUUCUGGAGGAAGUUGUGCCAAAAGAAGACCACAUGCUUGGAUUAACAAGCAAGACAGCUGCUGGCAAGUAUAACCACUGCGUGAAACAAAAUUAGAAGUAUUCAAUCCUGAAAGUGAUGGAGUCGUCCUAGUUGCACCCAAAGAAUCAGUGCUUCCUCCUGAAGGAGAAGUAGGCAAAAUAGAGCCUUGUCCUGAACUACCAGGAGCUCCAUGAAGCCCAUUGCUGGAUUGAACAAGGGUUGGUUGUAUGUGAACAACAAUUUGAACUAGAGAUGAGACAAUCUGUGAUGGUGAAACAGGAAGAGAAAGUAAUUCUAUGACAGCUGUUUCAAGAGUAAGCUGGGUGGAUAUCCCAGGGUCUUGCAUCUGAUAAUAAGGUUUCUGCCCGUCAAAAGAAUUAGUUGUCCCAGAUUGUGAUGUUGCUGGGAUCUUUCCAUGGGGAGCACGGGUAGAAUUAUUUGCAAAAUCUCCCAUCACUGCACAUUUGGAGCUAUUAUUUAAAGCGGGAAUAACAUGAUUCACCAGUCCUAACAAAAGAGUAGCGAAGUAGUCCAAUGGUGGGCACAUGGCUGCAUUUGAUGAGUUGAUAUGUUGCGGGAAUGACUCUGAAAAUGGUAUCUUUUUAAUAUCUAAG
rnacentral:misc_RNA from 1 species